GGGCCGUGAGACCGGCAAUCCGGACAGCUCACGUUACCCUCCUCUGACAUCUCCAGUCAUGACCACCAUCCAAGUGCUCCAGUUUCAUGCUGUACUCUUCAGGCAAUACCUAAGAUCCUCCAAUGACAACAUUCUCACAAUUCCAAAGACUUGUAUUGCAAUUAUUGGUUGCAUGGAGAUUGUGAGUGAACAGCCUCUAUAAUGUUCAGCCAUAAAUUCUGAAUUGGAUUAAAUCUGGACUCUGCCUCUGCCUCUCUAAGACAUUAACAUUGUUGUUUUUAAACCAUUCCUGUGGUAACUUUGGCUUUAUACUAAGGGUUGCUGUCUUGCUAGAAAAAAAGCUUUAGAUUCUCCUCCAGUAUUUCCCCAUAUUGUGCCAGUAUAUUGUCAACACUGUGGUCUCAUGGGGAAGCAACUUGAGUUCAAAAGACACACAAUACCUGAACAAACUUCUCAGAAA